UUCUUCCUUCUUCUACUACUAUUUCCAUGGCUCCUCGAUCGAUGACUCCAGCUUUGGAAACCCUAAAAAGUGAAAAUCAAGCUCAUCUGUCGUCUUGAGAUUGCUUCUGGACAUCUAAAUCGAUAUUGAAAUCUCCUAAAACCUCUUUGGUGCUCGGUUGAUGUUUGAUCUGGUACUGAAGAAAAGGGUUAAGUAGAAUAGAUCGGCUCUGAUUUACUAGCUCUAAGAGUUUGAAUCGGAUUCCUGUUCUCAGUUUCCGUCUAAAGAAGCUCUUACGGUCAUCUUCAACUGUAAAUGCUGUUAAUUUACACAUCACUACUUGGUUUUUAGUCAUGGUGAGGCGUCAUGGAUGACUACUCCCUGCUCACACUUUUCAGUUUCCAUCUAAAGAAGCUCUUACGGUCAUCUUCAACUGUAAAUGCUGUUAAUUUACACGUCACUACUUGGUUUUUAGUCAUGGUGAGGCGUCAUGGAUGGUAGCUCCCUGCUCACACGUUUCUGGUUUCAACAGUGGCUAUGGAAACUUAGCACGUCCAUUCUUCAAUACAUGCCUUGAAAUUGCUAGCAAUUGCAAAAUUAUUCACCAUCACUUUCCGAUCAGUUCCAUUCUUCAACAUCAAAGAAAAUAAAUCCAACGCUUCCAAGUUCACGCCUUCCUAUGAAUAUGCCGCAAUCAUAGUGUUCCACGAGACAACAUCCUUGUUGGGCAUCUCAUUGAAUAUCUGACGUGCUUGUUCAAUAUAAUCACACUUGGAAUACAUGGUGAUCAAGCCAUUGGCAACAAAAUUUUGUCUAAAGAAUCCUCUCUUUAAAAUCAAAGAGUGCAAGCUCGUCCCUGUAUCAACACACCUCAGUUUGUAGGAGACCCUAAUUAUGACAGUAAGUGUAGUCUCAUUGGACUCAACACCAGUUCUCCCCAUGUGUAGAAAGUAAGAUAGUGCCCGAUCAUUGAACCCUUAUGUGCACUCAUUGAUAUCAUUGAGGUCCAGGAAAACACAUUAUUCCCAAUAUUCGCAAGCAUUCCUCCAAAUGGGUGACCUGUUUGAGAAAACUAAACUAACUUAUGUAUAGAGAGAGGUAACUCUUUUAGAAAAAUUGAAUCUUUUUGAUGCAUUCGUUGUAGGUAAAUAAACCAAACUUUCUUUUUUUUUUAUAUUUGAACUUAUAUGCUUCAGCAUCAAAGUAGAACCUAGGAUCUACAAUUAACUAGUAAGUUUUGGUCAUGUUUGGGAGUGCUUAUUGAACAAGUGCUCAUUUGAA